UGAAUGAUAAUGGUCCCAACUCUGGCUUAUAGUAGCUCAUGAGUGUGCAGUUAUAAUGGGACAUGACUAACUUGCCCGCUUCAAAUUCAGAUCUCUUUUUAGGAUCCUGAUGCUCUACUGUAGCUCUCCAAAAGCAAAGCAGCCUUUGUUUCCUAGUCCUGUUGAAUGUCACUGAAGCAUCAUUGCACAUGUUACACCACGAUCGCUUAGGACAGAGUUCUGCAGCUCAGAUAAAGUGACUUUAGUCAUACGUGGGUUGAGAUGGAUUUAGGAAGAGAACAGACGACAAUGUAUGGAUCAGUUAGCCCCUUCCUCUGGAAUAUGCUUGUUUGGUCUAGAAGGGAAAGCCUUUUAUGUAGACUGUUAAGGACCACAACUGGAAAAGCACCUGUCCCUGACAUACUUUCACUCCGUAUUUGUGACCGUAUAGGGUCAGUCAAGAGGAAGAAGCUCUUGGUUUUGGUUAAAAUUCUCUGAAUCUACAGCACCUGAUACUUUAUGGAUGCUACCAGAGACAAUAAAGCCAUCAUAAUUAAGGUAAGGCUCUGAAAUGUGAGACUUUACAAAGAAGGCCAGAAUCACUGCUCCAGUUUCAGAGAUGGAGAAGUCAAAAAGCUAAACAGAGAAGGAAAAAAAAGAAAGACACCAAAGGACCUGGACCAGUCCGAAUGGAAGCAUUAGCUGGACCACUGGAGCUGGAAAGAUACACUGAGACAUAAAACCAGGAGGGC
rnacentral:lncRNA from 1 species